AUUGAACGCUGGCGGAAUGCUUUACACAUGCAAGUCGAGCGGCAGCGCGGGGCAACCUGGCGGCGAGCGGCGAACGGGUGAGUAACACAUCGGAACGUGCCCAGACGUGGGGGAUAGCCCGGCGAAAGCCGGAUUAAUACCGCAUGUGAUCUGAGGAUGAAAGUGGGGGACCGCAAGGCCUCACGCGUUUGGAGCGGCCGAUGGCAGAUUAGGUAGUUGGUGGGGUAAAGGCUUACCAAGCCUGCGAUCUGUAGCUGGUCUGAGAGGAUGAUCAGCCACACUGGGACUGAGACACGGCCCAGACUCCUACGGGAGGCAGCAGUGGGGAAUUUUGGACAAUGGGCGCAAGCCUGAUCCAGCCAUUCCGCGUGCAGGACGAAGGCCUUCGGGUUGUAAACUGCUUUUGUACGGUAACGAAAGGGCUCGUCUCUAAUACAGGGGCGAUAUGACGGUACCGUAAGAACUAAGCACCGGCGUAACUACGUGCCAGCAGCCGAC
rnacentral:rRNA from 1 species